CCAGGCUAAUACCGCAUACGUCCUACGGGAGAAAGGGGGCUCCGGCUCCCGCUAUUGGAUGAGCCUAUGUCGGAUUAGCUAGUUGGUGAGGUAAUGGCUCACCAAGGCAACGAUCCGUAGCUGGUCUGAGAGGAUGAUCAGCCACAUCGGGACUGAGACACGGCCCGAACUCCUACGGGAGGCAGCAGUGGGGAAUAUUGGACAAUGGGGGAAACCCUGAUCCAGCCAUGCCGCGUGUGUGAAGAAGGCCCUCGGGUUGUAAAGCACUUUCAGCGAGGAAGAACGCCUAACGGUUAAUACCCGCUAGGAAAGACAUCACUCGCAGAAGAAGCACCGGCUAACUCCGUGCCAGCAGCCGCGGUAAUACGGAGGGUGCAAGCGUUAAUCGGAAUUACUGGGCGUAAAGCGCGCGUAGGUGGAUUGAUAAGCCGGUUGUGAAAGCCCCGGGCUCAACCUGGGAACGGCAUCCGGAACUGUCAAGCUAGAGUGCAGGAGAGGAAGGUAGAAUUCCCGGUGUAGCGGUGAAAUGCGUAGAGAUCGGGAGGAAUACCAGUGGCGAAGGCGGCCUUCUGGACUGACACUGACACUGAGGUGCGAAAGCGUGGGUAGCAAACAGGAUUAGAUACCCUGGUAGUCCGCGCCGUAAACGAUGUCGACCAGCCGUUGGGUGCCUAGCGCACUUUGUGGCGAAGUUAACGCGAUAAGUCGACCGCCUGGGGAGUACGGCCGCAAGGUUAAAACUCAAAUGAAUUGACGGGGGCCCGCACAAGCGGUGGAGCAUGUGGUUUAAUUCGAUGCAACGCGAAGAACCUUACCUACUCUUGACAUCCUGCGAAUUUGGUAGAGAUACCUUAGUGCCUUCGGGAACGCAGAGACAGGUGCUGCAUGGCUGUCGUCAGCUCGUGUUGUGAAAUGUUGGGUUAAGUCCCGUAUCGAGCGCAACCCUUGUCCUUAUUUGCCAGCGCGUAAUGGCGGGAACUCUAAGGAGACUGCCGGUGACAAACCGGAGGAAGGUGGGGACGACGUCAAGUCAUCAUGGCCCUUACGAGUAGGGCUACACACGUGCUACAAUGGUCGGUACAAAGGGUUGCCAACUCGCGAGAGUGAGCCAAUCCCGAAAAGCCGAUCUCAGUCCGGAUCGGAGUCUGCAACUCGACUCCGUGAAGUCGGAAUCGCUAGUAAUCGUGGAUCAGAAUGCCACGGUGAAUACGUUCCCGGGCCUUGUACACACCGCCCGUCACACCA
rnacentral:rRNA from 1 species